UACGGAGGGUGCGAGCGUUGUCCGGAAUCACUGGGCGUAAAGGGCGCGUAGGCGGUUCGCUAAGUUGAAUGUGAAAACUCUGGGCUUAACCCAGAGCCUGCAUCCAAAACUGGCGAACUGGAGUACUGGAGGGGAAAGCGGAAUUCCUGGUGUAGCGGUGAAAUGCGUAGAUAUCAGGAGGAACACCGGUGGCGAAGGCGGCUUUCUGGACAGUAACUGACGCUGAGGCGCGAAAGCCGGGGGAGCAAACAGG
rnacentral:rRNA from 1 species